UGGGGAAUAUUGCACAAUGGGCGAAAGCCUGAUGCAGCCAUACCGCGUGGGUGAAGAAGGCCUUAGGGUUGUAAAGCCCUUUCAGCAGGGAAGAAAGGUGCGGGGUUAAUAACCCCGUAAUUUGACGGUACCUGAAUAAGAAGCACCGGCUAACUCCGUGCCAGCAGCCGCGGUAAUACGGAGGGUGCAAGCGUUAAUCGGAAUCACUGGGCGUAAAGCGCGCGUAGGCGGUCUGGUCAGUCAGAUGUGAAAGCCCCGGGCUCAACCUGGGAACUGCAUUUGAAACUGCUGGACUAGAGUGUGGUAGAGGGAAGUGGAAUUCCGAGUGUAGCGGUGAAAUGCGUAGAGAUUCGGAGGAACAUCAGUGGCGAAGGCGACUUCCUGGACCAACACUGACGCUGAGGUGCGAAAGCGUGGGGAGCAAACAGG
rnacentral:rRNA from 1 species